GAGAGGACGACCAGCCACACUGGGACUGAGACACGGCCCAGACUCCUACGGGAGGCAGCAGUGGGGAAUUUUGGACAAUGGGCGCAAGCCUGAUCCAGCAAUGCCGCGUGAGUGAAGAAGGCCUUCGGGUUGUAAAGCUCUUUCAGUCGAGAAGAAAAGGUUGUGACUAAUAAUUGCAACUUAUGACGGUAUCGACAGAAGAAGCACCGGCUAACUACGUGCCAGCAGCCGCGGUAAUACGUAGGGUGCGAGCGUUAAUCGGAGUUACUGGGCGUAAAGGGUGCGCAGGCGGUUCUGUAAUUCAGAUGUGAAAUCCCCGGGCUUAACCUGAGAACUGC
rnacentral:rRNA from 1 species